rnacentral:lncRNA from 1 species
GAUUAUGUACAAAAAAUGUAAAUAAAUUAAACCAAGUAUGUUAUAAUUUAAAACUCCUUAAAUUACAGUCUUUUGAAAAAAAUUAAACUCAAACGAGAUAUACUUGUUUACAGUGCAAAUUAAUGGCAAUAAUAGGGAUUUACGAUUUAAUUUGCAGGAAAAACAUGGGCAACCUAACCAGUUGGUAAAAUUUCAAUUCAAAAACUCGUUAGAUUUUACUGUGUGGAUGUCACAGGAAGAGAAACAAAAUAAUAUUCAGUCACAGGAGUACAAGAACAUGAAACAUCUUAUUAUGUAUGUAUGCCAUUCUCAAACAAUUAUUGUACAAAA